rnacentral:rRNA from 1 species
GCAUAAGAUUGUAGUAUCGCAUGAUAUAGCAAUUAAAGGAGCAAUUCGCUAUAAGAUGGACCCGCGUCGCAUUAGCUAGUUGGUGAGGUAAUGGCUCACCAAGGCGACGAUGCGUAGCCGACCUGAGAGGGUGAUCGGCCACAUUGGGACUGAGACACGGCCCAGACUCCUACGGGAGGCAGCAUG